rnacentral:tRNA from 1 species
GCCGGUUCGAGGGGCAGGGCCAGGUCUGGCGGCGCUUCGAACGCGGCUGGCGGCGGGUGGUCGCCUCGCCCCGGCCGGUG